UACGGAGGGUGCAAGCGUUAUCCGGAUUCACUGGGUUUAAAGGGUGCGUAGGUGGGCAGGUAAGUCCGUGGUGAAAUCUCUGAGCUUAACUCAGAAACUGCCGUGGAUACUAUUUGUCUUGAAUAUUGAGGAGGUGAGCAGAAUAUGUCAUGUAGCGGUGAAAUGCUUAGAUAUGACAUAGAACACCAAUUGCGAAGGCAGCUCACUACACAAUGA
rnacentral:rRNA from 1 species